rnacentral:rRNA from 1 species
CUAUGGUUCCUUAGAUGGUACGUACAGUUACUUGGAUAACUGUGGCAAUUCUAGAGCUAAUACAUGCAAAUAGAGUUCCGACCGCUGUCGCAGGCGGAAGGAAUGCUUUUAUUAGAUCAAAACCAAUCGGACUUUUCCCCAUAAGCGGGGGAUCGUCCGUUACGUCUUGGUGACUCUGAAUAACUUUGAGCUGAUCGCACGGUCCCGCACCGGCGACGCAUCUUUCAAAUGUCUGACUUAUCAACUUUCGAUGGUAGGCUCUGCGCCUACCAUGGUCGUAACGGGUAACGGGGAAUCAGGGUUCGAUUCCGGAGAGGGAGCCUGAGAAACGGCUACCACAUCCAAGGAAGGCAGCAGGCGCGCAAAUU